GUUUUUUCUCAACAAAGUCGCACCAGUGAUCAAGUAGCCGAAACCUUCCAGCUAAAACUAUUUUCCAACCAGUAACAGCUUUACUUAUAGUGAUGUUCUUUUGUCCAUUUUCUCUGAAAACGAAGAAGACAAAAUCAUAGAAACGCGAGAACUCAGAGAAGUCUGCCUCCAAAUUCAACCGCAACUUAAGCUUGUACACUUCUUCAAAGAUAGUCGCCCUUAUAUGCAAACUUGAAUCCACU
rnacentral:misc_RNA from 1 species